rnacentral:rRNA from 1 species
GUGAAAAUAUAAAUUAUUUAAAACUUUCAACAACGGAUCUCUUGGUUCCGGCAUCGAUGAAGAACGCAGCGAAAUGCGAUACGUAAUGUGAAUUGCAAAUUCAGUGAAUCAUCGAGUCUUUGAACGCACAUUGCGCCCCCUGGUAUUCCGGGGGGCA